GAAAGGUCACAAUCAGAUCUUCUUGAAGCCUUCUCCAGGCUGAACAAACCCAACUCUUUCAGCUUGUGAAAUGGAGAUGGUGACCACUGACUCAGUUUGAGGCCAAAAAUGUCUUCUCCACAGCAGGGAGCAUGCUAGAUCCAAUAGAAAACAGAAAGCUACAGUACAGGAGGGAUCUGUACCUGGAUGGCAGUGGGCCAAAGGUGACAUGCAACCUUCAUGAUCUGUGUGGUCUGGGGCUAUUUUGAACUGUCAGUACCAGCAAGGCAGUGACAUCUCAGAGGAAGCCCUGUGCAGAGCACCAGGAUUGGAGCCCAGGAUGCAUGAUGGGGCAGAGAGCUUUUCCUGAGCAUAGGAGCAGCCUUAACAAGCAAGUUGGCACAUGGGUUCGCUGUGGGAGUGAACCCACAGAAAGGAGUCCUCAGCAUAUGGUCACUUCUGUAACAGCAAUGAAACUUGAGGCAGGAUGGCACAGAAGCAUCACUGAGUUAAUGCCAACCUCUGAGAAGUCCAUCAGGAAGGUUGAGGUUCCUGACGUGCUCACAAAGCCUCAGAAAGACAAUGGCAGCUAAUCCAGGCUGCUGGAAGAGCAAUGACUCUUGCUACGAGCCACCUCUGAGCAAGGAGUCUGUAAUGGGAUCCCCAAGUGGAGGGAAAGCCACUUGGCUGCUGCACAGACAUCUGUGCAGAAGGGAUCCUCUGAAGAAUGGAUCGAAUGGUUUAUUUGGGGGGUGAUAUGAGAGAGGAUCAGGAGGGCAGACAUUUGGGCUCUCUCUUUGCCAUCAAACAUGUCUGGAGGUGUCGUGCAAGAGAUACUAUGGAGUUGGUGGAGGAAGAUCCACGCUAAGACCAAAAUGAGAACAUAAAUGCACAGCCAUCUCCCACAAAGGUUUGCAGUGUUCAUGUUGCCUGGGAUUCCUCAAUGAAGAGGUGGGAACUCAGCUGAAUGAGACCCUGGCUUCUCUCAUGCCUCGGCCCAGUGCCUUGAAAGGGUGCUUUUUGGUCCACUGCCAGAAGGCAGAUGAGGAAAUGGAGAGUGAAGGCAUUGGCUUCAGCCAGCCUGUGCACGGCCUCCCUACUAUCCAUAGAGUUGCUGAGUUAGAGACGUUGUCUAAGCCUUUUUUUUUCCCUGUCCCACAAAGUUCUGGUCUGGCAGUUCCAUCCAGUGUAACUGAUGAGCAUCCAAUGAAAAGGAUACAGUUGUGCAGCACCAUGCCUGGGAUCCCCUUGACAAAGACACAGAAAUAGUCAAGCUGAGAGUAUUACGGCUUUACACUGCUUCAGGAAGGGUAUCCCACAGGUGGGAAACAGAGGUGUUAGCCAGCUUACAUAGUCUUCCUAUGGUCAACAAAAGACAUCUUUUACCUUUUGUAUGUUGUGCAAGUCCUUCCUUCUCAUCUCAUGUUAUCUGUGUGUCCCCCUCCCCCUUGUCCCUGGAGCAUGAAGAACCAUGUCUGUUCCAUGGUGAGCCACCAGAGGGAGGGAGGAGAGGGCUUUGCUUCCCUUGUGCUAUUGGAACAGGAAAAGGAGGCAACUGGUGUAAGGCAACCAAGGUCAGUGGAGGUCUGGAGGUGUUUGUUUGUUUUUAAAGUUGAUGGUAUUUUUAUUUGAAGCCACAGAUUAUCUUCAUUACUCCAGAUCUGUUUCUACACCUUGGUUUCACUUUUAUUUGUGUGGAAAUGGGGCCAUAUCCAGUGAAGCUGUGCAGUAUUAUACAGAAGCAGUGCUUGCAGAAAUUAACACAUGCUGGCUCACCAGCCUGUGCAGUGCACAGCCCAACAGGUGAACUUCAGGUCCUUCCAGGUACAGGUUUAACUGAGUGCAUGGUACACUGGGAAAAGAAAGAGCAUUCUCCUGCAGCUGUGUGGCUUUUGUCCAGAGGUGGUCCCACACUUGCCAUUAUUCAAACACAGUGUCUGAAUUUUAUGAGGCUGUUUGUCAUUGCAUACCAUGCUACAUAAUUCUGUGGAAACUGCCUCUGGGAACAGCUACAGCUUUCUUCAGAAAUGUGCUGAAACCUCCAUGGAAUUGAGGUUAGCACUCAGUGCAGUGAGAACUCAUGCAGUGCAUGGAGGCAGGGUUCUUUUUCUGAAUAUGUAGUUUUCCCUUCAGCUUGCAGUUUCAUGGGAGAAAAAUGGUGUCAUAAUUGCAUUACUGAAGUUAGAACUGGUAUCUGAGCCAUACUAGUAUCAUCUUUGUAAAUUCCAGCUUGGCCUGCAUUUCAAAGGUUUUUCUUUUACGGUUUGAAGAAA